rnacentral:siRNA from 1 species
UGACCAUGUGUAAAGUGGACCAUG